CCUAUUUUUUUAUAUUGUUUUUCAAAUAAGCUGUACAUAAACUAAAUAAUUGUAAAAUUUAAGCGAUUUCUGUAAUUAGGUUAUUUUUUUAUUUCGAUAUUACAUCUAUUUCUCCUAUUAGUUCAACAGAAAAAAAGGACAUUAACAAAAAUGUAUGCUUCUUCCAGAGGCAGAUUGUGAGCUUAAAUGAACGGUGACUCCAUCUUUUUAUUUCAUUUUUCCUUUAAGUAUAUGAUAAAGUUCAUUUAUAAAAAAAAAUAUAGCGAAAUCCUAUAUUAGAAAAAAAAUUUGAUUUAUACCCAGGAGCCCCCUUAAC
rnacentral:lncRNA from 1 species